GUGACUUUCUUCAUCGUGUUUUCAAUUUCAUCUCCCACAUUCAUAACUUUUCUCCUCCUCCUCAUCCUAAUCUUCUGCAUUCGUCGUCGGUCCAAUAAAAUAUAGACGAAAUCACCAAAGCCACCAACGGCAGUGAGAACGGUAGCAAGAUCUAUUCCACCAAUGGCAACAAAAAGUGGCUCAAGUAUUUAUAUUUUGGUUUCUUUAAAACUCGUUACCACGAACACGAUGUCAGAUACUACGAAAUCACCAUUGUCAUCUAACUUUAUGGUGAGAGGAUUCUUGAUUCAUUUCGUAGUUCUUUGACUCCUAGAACAUUCGAAACCUUGAUAUGUACGCAAAAUUGGAUUCGAGGCUGCUCGGUGUUAUUAGAUCUUCAUCCGUAACUUGAAGACUUAGAGACUUAUGAGAAUAUUUUGAGAUAGGAGAAUAAUCACCUAAAAUCGUCAUGGUCGUGGCACACUUAGGACACCAAGUUGGAAUGUUUCUUGCUUAUUUUUAAUGGACAUUAUUUAAUUUUGAACUUUUGAAUCUAUUUUUCAAUUUGAAUGGACAUUAUAGGACAUUAUUGAUAUUCCUAUUUUGUGUGAUUCUUAA